UCACAUUGAUGUUAGACAGUCCAUAUUUUGACAAAUUAAUUAAUUCUCUCUAUAUAAUUUAGAAAGAAUUAUAAGAAAAUACAUAUAAUUUUACACCAUUAUAAAAAAUGGCUCAUGUUUUUAAGUUUUACUCCACCUAGCCCACAUUGUACAUAUUUUGAAAGCACUAGCAAAUUUAAAAUUUGUGUUCUUACAGUCAUUGCUUCUAAAAGCUAUGGAGCUAAAUAUAUGUUCUCACAACUAUUGCUUUCACUCUCUCUUCUUCUCACAUCUUCUACAUAUGCUUCAAGGGACCAUGUAUUUUCUGCUUCUCCUCUUGUGUCACCUGCUUGCAAUGUAAGAAAAUUGAAGAGUAGAAGUCCACCGUUGAAGACCAUUCAAAGCUUUGCUUUUGAAAAUGAUUUUUUUUUAAUUUGUUUGUUGUUUGGACUGGAUGUUAUUCCAAUUGAUUGAAAAUAUCAAAAGGAGUUCAAAAUUUAAAUUUGAAGUGAUAUGGAGUAUAUUUGAGUUAAAUUUCAGAAAAGACGCAAGGAAGAAGAUGAAGUCAGUGUAGAAACACACCUUAUACACUAUUAUACAUUUUUAUACACAUUUAUACAAGCGUCUGUAGUCGAACUUCUUCCAUAAUUUUCAGUUGCAAUUCUUGUUCAAAACCAGUCCAAAUCUCCAUUAAAUGACAUCAAAUUUUAUAUACAACCUCCUUAUACUAUUUCUAACAAGUUUAAAUAACACCAACUCCAAAUUUCUCAAAAAAUCAAAUUCGAAAUUUAAACCCACAUAUUUAAGCUUGUUAAAAAACUAAUUUUCACCAUCUAAAUUAUAUUGGUGUUUUGAAUUAAUAUUUGAGUCACAGUUACUGAUUUGAAAAUAAAUUUAAAAGUUUGAGGAAUCUUUUGUAAAAAUUAAAUAGUAAUUUUGAGAAUCUAUUGGAGUUGGAUAUUGAAUCUUAGCCUAUUAUUUUUGGCUAGUUGGUUGUAACUUGUAAAUCAAAAUAUGGGCUGUAAAAUUAAAAAGUAGAGAGAUUCUAAUAUGAAAAUUUUCCUAUAAUUUAUACUUAAUAUAUUUGUAUGUAUAUUAAAACUUGAUUUAUUUCUAUUUAGAUUAAAUUUCUUGUUUUUUCUUAAAAAAAUUCAAAAAUAAACUAAUCACCAUGAAUAAACAUGAAAUAGAAAGAGAAAAUGUACCUUCUGUUUUACUGAAAAUUUACUAAAAAGUCUUUAUCCAUAUUGUGGAAUAACUUUUACCAUUAAAAAUUACUACUCCAUUUUGUUACCUGUUGAUGGAAAUCACCAUAAUAUACAAAAGAAAAUGUAAAUCUUAUCCCAUUUAAAAUACCCACAAAAUUAUACAAAAAAAAAAAGAAAGUACAAUUUGCAAAAGAUUAAUUACCAAAAAAAGUUGAUAUUUGUUCAAAUACAAGACACAAAAUAUUUAAGAAAUAUUAUAAUACACAAGUAGAACUACCACGAUUAGAUUUUAUAUCUAAGCGCAUAUAGUGAUACAGUGCUAAAAGAAACUAAAAAAAGCACUCAGUUAUGUUGAGAUGAUGACCUUUCAUUGACAUAUUGCACUCCAUAGCACUGAAAGAUCACAAUCUUCUGUAAGAAUAAAUACAGUUUGUAUGCAUUCCUGUUAAAUAUUAGGAUAUAGUAUCAUAAGAUGAAUAGACAAAGAAAAACUCAACAAAAUUUAUAAGAAAAGCAGCAUAGAUGAAGAUCAGAAAAUAUUGAAAAGACAUAGAACUUUUAUACAAGGGACAAAACCCAUUAAAACCAUAAUUACUAUGGUGUAACAGAAAACGCAAUAAAGAAAUAAGGAAAAACAGACGGUCAGCAUUAAUAUUUCUUUAAUAGACAUUGUAACCUUUAAUAUGUUGGAUUGAAUCAAACUAAGAAAAGAAAAGAAAAUUCAAAAAAGGAGAAAAAAG
rnacentral:lncRNA from 1 species